UCGUAAUCGAGAUUAAAAUUCGAUUAAUUGAGCAGCCCUAGUCAGACUGCAUGCCCCCGAUUGGCUGAUCAGUGGCGUCAUUCGAUGAGUCAUGAGAGCGUCUCAUUUGCCAUUUUUGAAACCUGGCAACGAGAGAAAAUGGCUACAAAAAAAGCAAAAACACCCCAAAACAAACACAACGACGUGGUCCCCCCGAGUCUGACAAAAAGCCAUAGAUCGAGCAGCAGGUAUAUUGUUGCCUCGACGCCCGCCUUUUUUGUAGGGUUCAUGUCACAUAUUAAUUACGUCAUGGGACACUUGGCUGCAUUGCUAUAACAACAAACAUGCAUGUUAGGUGAUUGUAAUGGAAAACCAGUCGAUCUGAGUUUAGUCGUGCUGAGCUGAUCUUAGUAGGUACUAAUGAAAAAAGCAGCUAUAGAGCGGGCGCAAAAAAUGACGUACAAGCAGAGCGCAGCAGCCAGCGCAGAGCAUGCCGUUUCUUAUGUGAAAGGCCUUUUAGAAUUCUCAGACGAUGCUAUAAUUCCUCCCUGCCUAAGGACAGAAACUAAAACUUUAUUAACAAAUAUUAUAAAGACACUGAGAUACUUUACUAACGCUAAACCUCCCAGAAACUCUCUGGAACCAUCUGUGGUGGUCAUACUGACGACUUUCCUGCAACAACAGCAGUAAUGGCAAGAAAAACUCAUUUUGGACGAAGUUGUUAAUUCUGAUGUAAUUUCAAUUUUAUAAACAAAAGAUAAGCAAAAUUUCACAAAAAAGUAUUUAAGGUUCAGUUUUAAGGGUUUUGUUAGCUUAAAAAUUUUGAUUAUUUCAUUACAGACUAACAUUGAAUAUAUAUUCAAAUUCAUGAAUCUGCAAAGGGUACAACAAACAACAACUAACCCAUCUAAGUAAUUUAACUACUGUAGAACAAUAAAGUUAUGGAAAAGUUUAAAAUUAAUUUCAGAUAAUGUGUGACAUUUGUUAAACUAAGAUGGAUCGAAGGCAAUUACCAGGACACUGUACAGGAAGAGACUGUGAGAAUGCAGAGCAAGAAAAACUACACUUCUGCAGAAGAAACACCUUGAAGCCAGACUAAAGUAUGCUAAGGAUAACUUGGGAAAAAGAUUCUACACACUGGUAGCACUUCCUUUCUCACAUGAGAUGACACUAGAGCUCUUUGGACUUAGAGACAGACAUACAACACAAAGGCAGUUGGUAGAGAUGUGGAAUGAAUACCAAAAGGAUCGAAGUAAAAAUGCACAAGAUGAUUCUAAAUUAGCACUCUGCAGGUGUCAACCGCUCCUUUGAGUGGUAGAGACUGAGGGAUGUACACUUUUGUGUCAGACAGAGGGGGGAGAGGGGUCUUUACCCAUGGCAAGAUGCCCUUCUGUGCAGUCCUCCAAGAUCCUGACUGCAUUUUGAGUUCACCGGCAACGAGUGAACCACAACAAAAGUCAAAGUCACAUUUAUUUAUAGAGCACAUUGCUGUUGACUGAAGUGCUGUACAUUUAGUACAGCAAGCAGUCAGAACAAGCAGUAAAGCAGUACAAGAACAAGUAGUCAGAACUCAUUCUGCUUUAAAAGCCAAGGAAUAAAUGUGGGUUUUCAAACAUGUUUUGAAAGUGUCUAAUGUUGGGGAGGUCCUGAUGUGAAGAGGCAGUUUGUUUCACAUUUUAGGAGCAGUCACAGCAAAGGCCGACCUCCUCUGUGCUUUAGCAGUCCGCAGAUGAUCUUGAAACAGUCUACCAGUUCAAAAGAUCAGAAAGGUAUGAGGGUGCUAACCAAUGUAGCUGCAGUCAGCUAACAGACCUCAGACUGACACCUGAAUAAAGACUACGUAUUACAAAAGUCAAGGCAAGAUGAAAUGAAAGCAUGGAUCGCUCUCUAAGUCUCCAAAACAGAGGAAUGGCUUUACUUUUGCAAGUAGAUGCAAAGCAAAGACAGUAGAUUUGAUUACAGCCUCAAAGAUUUUAAAAAAGUAGCACAGCCAGUGGGCGUAGUUACAAUUUUCAUUGUUUAACACUGUUUCACUUAAGCUUUUUAUAGGUUAUAACUACCCUCUCCUCCGCAGCUGGCUCACGGACCAACAACAACAAAACGAGCAAGAGCUGUCCACUGACCAGCUGUAACACAGACUUCCUACACUGCCUCCAUCUAACAGCACUGGGCGAUGAUGCGACGAUCGGGACAUACGUCAUCGUAGCUGUGACUAGAGGCGCCUUCAGCCAGGGCUCCCCGAAGCGUCAUAUCCCAUAUAGAGUGGGUCGACUGAAGGGGAACCGUGAGUACGUUCAGGAACCAUUUGAAUUAAAGUGGUUACGAGGAACCCAACUUUUGACUUACGCAUUUCAGAUUAAGAAUAUGUCACAUGUUCAACAACAAAGACUGUGGCUCAACCUACCUACGCUAACGGGGGAAGAAAAGAAAGUGGCUUAAGGGUUUAACAAAUCUUCAGGGAGGAAUGGGUGACAAUGACACAAUCAGACUUAACCACCUUUGCCAAGGUCAUUAUGUUUUUGGUAGCGUGUGUGUGCAUGCAUGUAUGUCUUUCUGUUUGUAAACACAAUAACUAAAGCUUUGAAAAAAUUGUGAAACGUUGUUAUGUCGUAGAGGGAGAUCACUGUAAUAAAUUUAUUGGUCUAAAUUUGACAGAAACACUUAAGUUAGACACUAUGAUUCUUGGAAGAGUGCUGUGUGUUCUCAAUAUAUAGAAAGUACUUUAUAAGUACCUUUUAAAAUAUAUCAUGGUCAUUUUGUUAAGCCAUAUAGAGCUGCACACACUCCCUUGUGUAAUGGCAUUGUCAGCUAUAUGUGUACUGUCCAACCAAAUAGGAAGUCCAAUACCCACUUACACAAUUUACCAUUUACUCCUAGUUUUCUGAGUUUAACCUGUUCAAACCAACUUUAUCAUAUUUGAUACAUGAGUUUUUGAGAGGUUUUGAAAUGUCUUUUUUUUCUAACUAAACCAAAAUAAAUUGUGCAAUGCAUUUUAAGGAAUAAGUUACAAAAAAUGCAUGAAACAGCAAACUUGAAACAAAUUAAAACUAAUGCAUUUAUCAAAAAGUCUCCAGAUCUUUUUUUAAGACAAGUGCAGGCCCAUUUCCAAACUUUGAUUCAUUUUAAAAGAAUGAUUUGUUAAUGAUUUGGGAAUUCAUUUGCACUAAGGGAACAUGUGAACACUCUCAGAAAGGAGACAAAAGGUGAUCUGGAAUCUGUUUUUAAUAUAAAGUAAUAAUAUAAAGAAGUAAAAAAUAGCAAUAAUAAUAAGCAAGUAUUAUUAUUAAGGUUUGUUAUACACCCACAAGACAAGCUCGGGUAACAGGACAAGAUGUGCUGUUAACAUAAGAAAAAAAAAUGUUUCCCAGUCUUUAUAAAUUUGUGCCCAGCACCAGAUAGGGUCAGUCUGAUCUUCUCCAGCUUCAGAUGAUAGAACGCUUCCUUAACCCAGUCCAUAUGAGAAGGUGGAACUGAAGAGUAUCACCUCAAAAAGAUCAGCCUCCUGGCCAAUAAAGUUAAGAAUGCUAUCGAGUCUUUAUGUAGAUUGAGUGAAGCUGAUGAUACACAAAUUAUACAGUCACAGCAUCUGGAACAAUAUUUCUUCCAGUUACCUUGGACAGGGCAUCAAAGACUCCAGAUCAGGAAACCCUCAAAGAUGGAGAGUGCCAGAAUAUAUGAGCAUAAUUUGCAGAAGAAUGACAGCGCCUAUCACACAACGGAGACAUUGGGUUAUAUAUUUUAGUGAGUCAGGCCUUAGUAUAAUGAGUAGGGUGUAGGAUCUUACACUGAGCAAAACAGUGUUUAGCACAAAUAGAUGACUAGGGAGAACAGGAAAAUCUUUAUAUGAACAGCGAACAAAGUUUUGAACCUGGAAGUAUCUGAAAAAAAAAAUGGUUCCUAAGUAAUGAAAAGUUUGCCAUCAAUUGUUCAAAAGAUGCAAAAGAUGAAUCUAGAUCUGCAAAAGUCCUAAUGCCCAACCUGGCCCAUGCAGUGAAUACACUAUCUUGUAGAGAUUUGGGAAGCAGAUGGUUCCCUAUUAAUGGUGCUUUAAUAGAGGGCCCCUGCAAACCAAAAAUGUGUCUAAAUUGGGUCCAGAAUGUGAAUGUGAACAUUGACCUUUGUCCUUUAGAUGCAGAUGGACAGCCGAGUCUUGUCCCAUCGAGGCAGCUCUUCACUGUUAUUCUAUUCUUAUAGCUAAGAACAGAAUUGAUCCCCUUGCAAGGGCAAAUUAAAACUUUACAAAAACAACUUGUUUGUGUAGUUUAUGUCAGAUGAUCGGCGGAAACAGGAUGCACCUGAGCUCAGUUUUGAGUAUCAUAGCAAAGGCUUUGUGCUUUUCUUGUAGUUGAUGAGGUUAUUUUAUUUCUUCUUCCAGUUUCAUAGCCAAACUGCAGAAUAAAGAAAACAAAGUACUUCAGACAGGUUGCUAACUGAGGCAGCUUAACAUUCACCAUAUCAGCAGAACCUGUGCUUCUUGUACUUGUAGCCUAAUGGUUCAGUUUGCAACAGGUGACCAACACUGAGAAGGUCUGCCUUUAGGUGGAGACAGCCCGGCAAUUCCACCUGUGAAUAUUUGAGAAAAAGAGAGGGAAGGGAAAAAACAAAGAAACCAAAAACUUCUUUUGAAUCAUAACACAGGAUUUAAUGAACCCUGUCCUGUCUGGAAGCUUUUGCGAUUAUGAUCUGAAAGCACUGUUGUGCCAAACACGUUUUGCUUUUCCAAGAACCGUUCUGUAAAUUCUCUACAGGAUCCUCUUGUUCAGGGUUGAUCUGUUUAUUUCAUCAUGGGGUGAACCCCUCCCUCUGUGACCAUGUCCCACAGGGACCCAGGCCCAGCUACACACACACACCAUUCGCUCACCCAUACAUACCCACCAAUGACACACAGACGCACGAAGCCACACAUGCAGACACACUGACCACUCGCCCCUCAGAUGCCAGCAAGCAGACUGUUUAACCUAACUGUUGAACAGUAGUGCUCAUCCACCCCCCUAACUGUCAAUGUCUAAGAUGCAGAUAAAAAUGAGGGGCAGAUAACAGUUAAGGGGUGAAUGGGGCCACUGCAGCAGUCCCACCCACAAGCCUCUGUGUGUGUGUCACACAGUGGAAAUGUGUAUUUAUCUUGUAUAUUGUUUUAUUUUGAUUUUUAGUGUUUAUUUAUGAGUGUCGUUUUAUUUGCAUGGUUUUAUUCUAUUUCUAUUGCAUGGUUUUUAGUGUUUUAUGUGACAUGGUUUUUAUCCACUGUGGACUGGCUGCACAUGGGACAAAUUAGCUGAUAGGGACCACCUGCUGAGGCAUGGGUGUGUCCAGAGGUGGCCUAUCAGCUGUGUAAAGACCUUUUAAAAGCAGGCUAGCUGAGCGCUGAAGAGAGAGAGGCCUCAGACUGGAAGGUUAGUGCUAGAUGGCCAGUGUGACACAGCGACCCGGCGACCCGGCGACCCAGUCCUGACCUCAUGGAACGGCAACGGUAGGAGACAACGCGGGUGACUGGCAGCAGGGCAGAGGUUUACCUCUGCCUGCAUUUGAUACCGACGCAAGGGGAGCUGUGGCGGUGGUCGCAUAAUGGAUUCGGGUGCAGAACGCAAGCCGGGCUGGGAAGUGAUGGGCCAGCGGAAGGACAAGAAGAUGGGAGGCUCUUUCUUGUCUGCCGAAGAUGAGGCUGGCGUAGACUCUGCUUUAAAGAAGAAUUCCCGGCCUGCUGAUGGACCCAUAAUGAACAUGUGGCAUAAUUAUAGCAGGGGGCUUUUAAUGAAUGUAGUAGUUUUACGAGUUUUAGAAUUGUUUUAUUUAGUUUUAGUAGAUAACAUUUUAUUUCAUACAUUUUAAGGGUGUUUUUAUUUGUGCUCCCUGGCCUAGAAAUAAACUGUUUCUGAUGAGACCUGCUGCAUCUCUGUGCCCGUGGUAUCUGACUCGCCUGCUCCCCCUUGUAUUUUAAAGAAUCUUUCUUUUUAGCGUAAAAAGUCCGCCCGUGUUACAUGUGUGUGUGGUAAUAUGUUGUGAACCGUAAUGGACGAUGAAGGAACUGAUACCAGUUACUGCCCCUCACACUCACCUCGUUUAUAUUCAAUAGAAAACUUCUGGGACAUUGAAUAUCAGACGUUUCAGUAGGAGAAAAGAAGUCAGUCAUCCAAGCGUUUGGACGUAGCGUUUCCUCCCACUGACAAUGACAGAAUCAGCUUUUUUGGAUUUCCUUACCUGAAUGAUUGAGCAAGCAUCAAGACUGUGUGUGUGUGUGUGUGUGUGUGUGGGGGGGUCAUGCAAAGUACUUACCAUCAUUUUUCUACAAAGUGGACCAGCCUGCUGCAUCAUGUUUUCACUUUGUUUCCAUCAUUCCUAAACACAUUAAACUCACUGGCCCUUUUUACUCUACCUGAGCACUCAAGGCAUUAUGCAAUCGACUCACUCACCCUUUCAUACAAGCACUUUUUUUCUAGGCUGAACUACUUUUUAGCUAACAUUCACAUUCUGAUGGAUGCAUUAGUAGAUGCUGCUCUACCUCCUGAGCUACAACCAACCCCACCCCCUACAUAUCAGGAUAGCCUGGACUCAAACCAGGCCUGUUCAGAAUGUGUACAUCCUCAUCAUUGAAAGGCUGGCCACUGAGUGUAGGUGUAAACACACUGCAGAGACCUGGCCUGAUGAGUUAGCUCUUCUGUGGUGUGACAUCCACUUAGCCAGAGGCUGUUUGGUUUCCCCGAUGAAUAAAACACAGCAAUCCACUGGCCGCUGUAUCCUUGGGGAUGGUGUUCAGUCUGUGUUGUAUUAUACUGAUGCAUAGCCAAUUUAGACCCAUUUUGGGGGUGCUUGAGUAUCAUCAGAGCACCCCUAAAAUAACCAUAGUUGUAAUAACAGCAUAUUUUUGGUUAUUUUCUAGAAUUAUCUUCAAAUGUUACAUUUUUCUAAUUUGUCUAUUUACAACAGAACAGCAUAGAAUGAAAACAGGUUUUAUGACCUGAUUUCACCCAUUUGGUGCUCCCAUUACUGAUGGCAAUUUCAGUCUCAGCCUGAGACUAAAGAAGUCACUUGGGACGAAACAUUUCUCCCACUGAAUACGCUGCAUCCAGAUAAACAGAAUCAACUUUCUGGGAUCCUAAUGGAGCCUGCAUCAACACAUAUCACAUGUCCAGUAUGAUUUUUUCCUUCAUGCAGUUUCAAACUAUAUCUUUAAUUUUUUUGAAUGCAGUAUAUGUGUGACGUCUUCUGAGCAACUGUCUGCAGGAACUGCAGAACAAUGUCAGACAUGUGUGUGAGGAAAACAUAAAUCAAAAGAAAGAAAAAGUAAUUAUAAUGUCAGAGGAAGAUGAAAGAGUACAAUGUGUCUUUACAAACCAGGCAAAUGAACAGUGAAACUAAAGAGAUUACAUUUAUAGUCUCAGAGGAGCCUGAGAGAGAACAUCAAGAGAAAUGAUUAACAGAAACUAAAUUUUAUCCAUUUUUAAGUUCACUGUGCAAAACAGAACUGACAAGGUGUUCCUAUAUAUGACUCUAAGAGCACACAACCAGGAGAGUAUGCACAGUUGUUAUCUCACAUACAGGGAAUUCCACAAAACCUAUGCAGCGCAUGGAUAAAGGGAAGAUUUCAGCAACUUGAAGCAUGAAAACAUAAACUAAAGACACUCCUCCAUCAUGUUCGGUUAAUCACAUGAUUUGUGUGAUGGGGCACUCCUCAGGCUGAUCCAGGAACAGCGUCUGAAACAUGUGGUUGUAGAAGUCAGGGUGGUAGAGGCAGGCCCGGGCACAGUCUGGGCUGAAGUUCAA